GUGUUUUGGUUCACAAUAGAUAACUAGAGAGGAAAACACUUUGAUAGAAUGGUUUGAUAGAAAACUGGGUUCUGAUUUUGAAAAUGGUUUACUUGUUUAUUUUUCAGAGCUUACAGGACAGAGAGGAAAACACUACAAGCAACAAAUAAAUCAUUUGGAGAAAAAUGUAAGUCAUGAGUUAUAAUGUUAUAUUCUAUCAUUCAGUGUUUUGAAUUCAGUGUUUUGGUUACUGAUUUUAAUUAGUUUUUGAAUUCAGUAUCAUGGUAAUUCUUUUUUGAUAGCUAGAUGUUUAGUAUCUAAAAAGUUU